UGGGAGGACCACCUCCCAAGGCUAAAUACUACCUAGUGACCGAUAGUGAAGAAGUACCGUGAGGGAAAGGUGAAAAGAACCCCGGAAGGGGAGUGAAAUAGAACCUGAAACCGUGUGCCUACAACCGGUCGAAGCACUUUAUAUGUGUGACGGCGUGCUUUUUGUAGAACGAGCCAACGAGUUACGAUAUGUAGCAAGGUUAAGUACUUAAGGUACGGAGCCGAAGGGAAACCAAGUCUGAAUAGGGCGUUGUGAACGCAAGUUCACGAAGUUGCAUGUCGUAGACCCGAAACCGGGUGACCUAUCCAUGGCCAGGAUGAAGCGGAAGUAAAAUUCCGUGGAGGUCCGAACCACGUUGGUGUUGAAAAACCAUGGGAUGAGCUGUGGAUAGCGGAGAAAUUCCAAUCGAACUCGGAGAUAGCUGGUUCUCCUCGAAAUAGCUUUAGGGCUAGCGUCGAUUAAUUGAGUAAUGGAGGUAGAGCACUGAAUGGGCUAGGGGCUGACAACAGUUACUGAAC
rnacentral:rRNA from 1 species